UUUAUAUGAGAGUUUGAUCCUGGCUCAGGAUGAACGCCGGCGGUGUGCCUAAUACAUGCAAGUCGAACGCGUUGGCCCAAUUGAUUGACGGUGCUUGCACCUGAUUGAUUUUGGUUGCCAACGAGUGGCGGACGGGUGAGUAACACGUAGGUAACCUGUCCAGAAGCGGGGGACAACAUUUGGAAACAGAUGCUAAUACCGCAUAA
rnacentral:rRNA from 1 species